rnacentral:rRNA from 1 species
GACGAACGCUGGCGGCGUGCUUAACACAUGCAAGUCGAACGGAAAGGCCCUGCUUUUGUGGGGUGCUCGAGUGGCGAACGGGUGAGUAACACGUGAGUAACCUGCCCUUGACUUUGGGAUAACUUCAGGAAACUGGGGCUAAUACCGGAUAGGAGCUCCUGCUGCAUGGUGGGGGUUGGAAAGUUUCGGCGGUUGGGGAUGGACUCGCGGCUUAUCAGCUUGUUGGUGGGGUAGUGGCUUACCAAGGCUUUGACGGGUAGCCGGCCUGAGAGGGUGACCGGCCACAUUGGGACUGAGAUACGGCCCAGCCUAGUACGGGAGGCAGCAGUGGGGAAUAUUGCACAAUGGGCUGAAGCCUGAUGCAGCCCCGCCGCGUGCGGGAUGACGGCCUUCGGGUUGUAAACCGCUUUCGCCUGUGACGAAGCGUGAGUGACGGUAAUGGGUAAAGAAGCACCGGCUAACUACGUG